GUGAGGAGCCUUUUGCCGUGAUUCUCAAAUGUCUUUGCCUGAGGCAGAAUUGCACCGCCCUUGCCAGGGACUGGGCUAAGUAUUCUGUGCAGGUUCGCUCUCAGAGCUUUUGUUCCCUGUUCACUUUCUGUAGAGCUCUGGAGGACAGGAAUGAAAAUGAUGGCCUCCCAAUCUCCGGCCCAGAGAAGCUGAGAGCUCAGGACCCCACUCCUCAGAGCACCCUCGGAGAAAAGCAAUCACUCCCUCCUGUCUCCCUGGUCUCCGGCCGUGUUCUAUGCUCACCCAGCCUGUGACCAAGCAUUUCUAUCUCUGGCACACAGCCCCAUUUGGAGUCUCCAAACCCAGCAGGUUCCUGCCAUGCUGCUACUCCCAGAGGAAGGUGACAGAAACCACUUCUGGGCAAAUUACCAACAAUAACAAGACAGUUUAUUUGGAAAAAGAGCUGGGGUAGAGAAUAGGAAUCAUGGGAAUAACUGGGUAAGUGAAGCCAACA
rnacentral:lncRNA from 1 species